UCUCUUUUUUUUUUUCCUUUUUUGCGUGGAGUCCGGCCUAUCUCCUUCCUCGAGCCCAGCGGCCGCCGUUUCCCGGUUUCUCCGUGCCGUGCCCAGCGGCCGCCGUUCUCUUCCUCCAUCGCCAGCGCACUACCUAGGUUCGGUCUCCCGUCAAAUUUGGCCACCUGUGCUCCGCGUACCUACAGCCCAUGCGUUGACCGACCAGUCUUCAGGCUCUCAUCGCAAGAUUAACGAUAGGAGGGCCCGAUAGAUCAGGAAGACAGCUCGGUGCAGCAGUAGCGUACGGCAUACCGGCGAGUCAAAGUGCUGAGAAUAAGAGGCUUCUCAGCACAUGUGAAGGGCGGAAAGGGGAUUGCUCUAUGUUGAUCUGCUGUAUAUGACGAACAAAUGAAGAACUAUCCUUGUGCAUUUGGAAUAAUCUGGCCACACGAGAGAUGGGAUAAUAAAGCUGCUAUAAAACUCAGGUUUCAGAAGUGGGAUACAUGGAAGACGAUAUCUAAGAAUAACCAGAUACAAAAACUGCCUGUAGUAUGUAAUGACACUGACAUUCCAAGUUUUCAGUCUUUACCAGAAUUUCAGUCGUAUAAGCUCAUACAUAACAAAUGGGUAUUAGGAAAAAUUCUGCUAUCUAACUGUGCGCAUGCCCUUAUUUGUGAAGCAGAAAAGCAUAAGACAGCAAGUGAGUAUAUGUGCUAAAAAAGACAUGUCAUCCAUUUUGUUUUCAUGUGAUUGCUUCACAUUUUUUGUAACAGUUCAUAUUAAAGUAAUUUUAGUGUUCCUUUGAAAUCUUAUUAUGAUCCAGUGUCAAAAAACAUAGUUUUGGUGCUGUUUUGCAUCUUGCAGAUCCAUGUUUUACACACAAAACAGUGGUCUGUUAUUCACAUUGCCAACCACAAAUGUGGGGUCAGAUUGUUUGGCUCAAGUUGGAAAGUUGUAGGAGACUGCGGCUGUAUCGUUCAGUGUAGUUUUGCCCUGCGUGAUAGCAGUGGCCGAGAAUGAUUGUAAGGAUUUAAGUUCUUCAUUUAAUAAAGAUAGAUUAAGCAACCAAGAUAGCAGGCGAGGGCAUGAUUUUUAUUCCUGAUACAUAGUACAACACGAAGAUAGAAAGCGGUUACAUUCUAAUUACCAACCAACUGGCUCGCUUUUUCGGCAAUGUCGGAGAGGAGAGGCCUAGCAGUCUUCUUCACUCCGCAAUCAGUCCCAGCAAAGAGCAUGCAACUUUUAAGGUUAGACAUGAUCUUUGAGGCCUUACACAAGGACUUCACACAUUCCUCCAAGUCCGCGGUGACAUGGUCACGCUGCAGCAUUAAUAUCGCAAUCUGGCCGCAAAGCUUCACGAUUCUUAGACAAUCAGCUCUGGCCUCACAGCUUUGUUCUACUAUAGCCUUGAGGUUCCGAACAAAUUCACCCUCUUGGAGGGGAAUCUCUCGAGCCACAUCGUUGAAAGUCAUUUGCACUGACACACAUCACCAAGGUAAGCGAUAACAGCUUCUUGGAAUUCCUUGUUUGGAUGGCAGUUGGUUUUCUUCAUCAUCACCCGGUCCAGAAAUUGCCUGGUUUUCUUCAUGUUUUUUGAUUGCGACAAUUGCCUUUACUGUCUCGGUCACUCUUGCAAGACACUGCAAUUCAUCCCGUGCAGAAUUUGUUCUUUGUUUUAUGGGGAGGUCUCGUUUACUGGCCAGUACUUGCGUGAGGACCUGCAACAAUAAUGUAAUUUGUGGAAAUACAAUCACUGCCCAGAUGAUAUACUGUUAAAAGAGUAUAUUCAAAACUAUUGUCAUGCUGGCUAAUUUUUUAUGUAAUUAGCAGAUGAACGGGUCUUUAAGCUUACUUUUGGCAGCAAGGCUUCCUUGAGAUAAUCCUUGUCCAAUGUACAGUGAGUGCACAGAUUCUCCAAGAUCUCCAAUGCUACUAUCCUAGGUUGGCCGACGAAUCAAAAGCCAGUUCUGUAGUAUUUCUAUGGCACGCAUCUGCAGUUCUCUGCUCACAUUGUUCCCCUGAUCAAGAAAGCUCUCCAGGUUGCUCAGUGCCUGCUCGCUGGAAGAGAUUUCAUGGGUCAGCCUUUUGCCAUUCCACUCGGGAACACUACAUUAGUGAUCUAAACGCUCUUAUAUUUCUUUACACAGGGAGUAGUCGUCAUAGUUUAUGCAGCAUCGUCAUGGCGCUCAAAGUAGAAAGGGUAUUGUGGUAUGGCCAAGUAAAGGUUCCAGUUCUAGUUUAGUCCUGUAUUUAGCUGUUUUAGCCUCCACUCUGGCCCUCAAAGUGGACUACACGAACCAAUGGAAAUUUAUCAAAAAAAUCACAAAAUUGGAAAAUUUUGGCUCAAAGUGGACUGCAUGUUAUUGGCCAGGGAAAGAUCCUUUCUUCAGUUUCAGUUUUGUUUGCUUUGGUUACUUUUUUGCCCGUUCUUUGCUUUGUGUACUCUGCUCUCUUUUUUUUUGAAGGGCCCGUGGUUGAACUUCUAUUACUAAGAAGAGACAUUAACAUUCCUGCCCUUUAUUGCCGCGACCCCGACUGUUCUUUGUUAGUGUGCGUGAGCUAUCUCAAGUUGAGUUGAUGAGCAUUUGAAGGAGCAGCAGCAGAAGAAGAGAUGUUAGUAGCGGAAAUCCAAUUUGGCUCUCGGGUCCAGAUGCUCCCGCAACCUGUUAGUAGUAGAUGGCAUUGCACGCCUGGGGCUGCAAGCCAAUGUUGGCUCGCCCAGAACAGCUCUGCUGUUGCUCCUGCUGUCCAGGAACAACACUGGAAGCUAGGUUGGCCGACGAAUCAAAAGCCAGUUCUGUAGUAUUUCUAUGGCACGCAUCUGCAGUUCUCUGCUCACAUUGUUCCCCUGAUCAAGAAAGCUCUCCAGGUUGCUCAGUGCCUGCUCGCUGGAAGAGAUUUCAUGGGUCAGCCUUUUGCCAUUCCACUCGGGAACACUACAUUAGUGAUCUAAACGCUCUUAUAUUUCUUUACACAGGGAGUAGUCGUCAUAGUUUAUGCAGCAUCGUCAUGGCGCUCAAAGUAGAAAGGGUAUUGUGGUAUGGCCAAGUAAAGGUUCCAGUUCUAGUUUAGUCCUGUAUUUAGCUGUUUUAGCCUCCACUCUGGCCCUCAAAGUGGACUACACGAACCAAUGGAAAUUUAUCAAAAAAAUCACAAAAUUGGAAAAUUUUGGCUCAAAGUGGACUGCAUGUUAUUGGCCAGGGAAAGAUCCUUUCUUCAGUUUCAGUUUUGUUUGCUUUGGUUACUUUUUUGCCCGUUCUUUGCUUUGUGUACUCUGCUCUCUUUUUUUUUGAAGGGCCCGUGGUUGAACUUCUAUUACUAAGAAGAGACAUUAACAUUCCUGCCCUUUAUUGCCGCGACCCCGACUGUUCUUUGUUAGUGUGCGUGAGCUAUCUCAAGUUGAGUUGAUGAGCAUUUGAAGGAGCAGCAGCAGAAGAAGAGAUGUUAGUAGCGGAAAUCCAAUUUGGCUCUCGGGUCCAGAUGCUCCCGCAACCUGUUAGUAGUAGAUGGCAUUGCACGCCUGGGGCUGCAAGCCAAUGUUGGCUCGCCCAGAACAGCUCUGCUGUUGCUCCUGCUGUCCAGGAACAACACUGGAAGCUAGGUUGGCCGACGAAUCAAAAGCCAGUUCUGUAGUAUUUCUAUGGCACGCAUCUGCAGUUCUCUGCUCACAUUGUUCCCCUGAUCAAGAAAGCUCUCCAGGUUGCUCAGUGCCUGCUCGCUGGAAGAGAUUUCAUGGGUCAGCCUUUUGCCAUUCCACUCGGGAACACUACAUUAGUGAUCUAAACGCUCUUAUAUUUCUUUACACAGGGAGUAGUCGUCAUAGUUUAUGCAGCAUCGUCAUGGCGCUCAAAGUAGAAAGGGUAUUGUGGUAUGGCCAAGUAAAGGUUCCAGUUCUAGUUUAGUCCUGUAUUUAGCUGUUUUAGCCUCCACUCUGGCCCUCAAAGUGGACUACACGAACCAAUGGAAAUUUAUCAAAAAAAUCACAAAAUUGGAAAA